rnacentral:snoRNA from 1 species
UAUUCGAGACUUGUUAGAAACUGAUUGACUGAAGAAUCGAAGUAGAUGUAUGUAUAAAGGUGAGUAAAAUCAGACAAGGCUGAAACUUAGAAGCUGACAAAAUUCCACAUUAUUGGUUAAGCUUGAGGAAUGCCUUUGCAUGUCAUAGUGUCAUCAUAAAGG